UACGGGGGGGGCAAGCGUUGUUCGGAAUUACUGGGCGUAAAGGGUUUGUAGGUGGCUUGCUAAGUCAGACGUGAAAUCCCUCAGCUUAACUGGGGAACUGCGUCUGAGACUGGCAGGCUUGAGUACUUAAGAGGAUCGCGGAAUUCCCGGUGUAGAGGUGAAAUUCGUAGAUAUCGGGAGGAACACCAGUGGCGAAGGCGGCGAUCUGGGAAGAUACUGACGCUGAGGCACGAAAGCGUGGGGAGCAAACAGG
rnacentral:rRNA from 1 species